rnacentral:lncRNA from 1 species
GAAAGAUCUCCCAUGCUCAUGGAUUGGCAGGACUAAUUUAGUAAAAAUGGCCAUUUUACCAAAAGCAAUCUACAGAUUCAAUGCAAUCCCCAUCAAAAUACCAAUCCAAUUCUUCAAAGAGUUAGACAGAACAAUUUGCAAAUUCAUCUGGAAUAACAAAAAACCCAGGAUAGCUAAAGCUAUCCUCAACAAUAAAAGGACUUCAGGGGGAAUCACUAUCCCUGAACUCAAGCAGUAUUACAGAGCAAUAGUGAUAAAAACUGCAUGGUAUUGGUACAGAGACAGACAGAUAGACCAAUGGAAUAGAAUUGAAGACCCAGAAAUG